GUGGGGAAUCUUGCGCAAUGGGCGAAAGCCUGACGCAGCCAUGCCACGUGAAUGAUGAAGGUCUUAGGAUUGUAAAAUUCUUUCACCGGGGACGAUAAUGACGGUACCCGGAGAAGAAGCCCCGGCUAACUUCGUGCCAGCAGCCGCGGUAAUACGAAGGGGGCUAGCGUUGCUCGGAAUUACUGGGCGUAAAGGGCGCGUAGGCGGACAGUUUAGUCAGAGGUGAAAGCCCAGGGCUCAACCUUGGAAUUGCCUUUGAUACUGGCUGUCUUGAGUACGGGAGAGGUGAGUGGAACUCCGAGUGUAGAGGUGAAAUUCGUAGAUAUUCGGAAGAACACCAGUGGCGAAGGCGACUCACUGGCCCGUUACUGACGCUGAGGCGCGAAAGCGUGGGGAGCAAACAGGAUUAGAUACCCGGGUAGUCC
rnacentral:rRNA from 1 species